rnacentral:lncRNA from 1 species
UCUUGCUCUGUCACCCAGGCUGUAGUCCAGUGGUGUGAUCUCAGGGCUUCUCACCAAGGCCAAGAUGGACCAGAUACUACAUGGCCUAGACAAGGUGACUGAGGAGUGUGCCCAGGGCACCUUCAAACUCAACUCCAAUGAUGAGGACAUCCACACAGCCAGUGAGCGCCGCCUGAAGGUACGACCCAUGGAGCCCCACCGCUUUCCUGGCCUCCCCUCUCCACGUUGCCCGGGGCAUCAUUCUGUUUACUUCGUCAUUGGCAGACAGCAGACCUUUUGCCUGAGCAAAGCAUAA